rnacentral:precursor_RNA from 1 species
CAAGGCCAUAAAAAAAUCUUAGCUGUGUGAUAGUGAAAACUCCACGCUUUACUUUUCAAACUGCUAUAUAUAACUCAAUGAAUAACCUUGUAUACAACAUCCAAGAAAUAGGGUUUUCUUUCCAAGUGACCUAAGGUCCUUCGCUCUUUGUUUUUGCUUUUAGGUUUGGCUAGGAUUCAAGAAGAGUUGUAGUGUUUUUCUUUGGUUGUUUAUUUUUAGUUUUUGUUGUCACUAUAUCUUCUAUCUUGUUGUAGAUCUGAGAUAGAUCUUGGUUCAUGUUUAGCUGUUGUUUUGUUUUUUCUUUAUGACUACAUCUUUAUUCUGUUAGUUUCCCAUUUCUGGUCUUGUAUCUUCAACCAACUUUAAGGUUCAGAAGCUUUUUGUGUCUUUUGUGCAUGCUCAUAUGUUCCUAUGAAGUAUAAACAUCUCGUGACAAGUUUUUUUAAAGAAAAAAUAUUUACUACUAUCUUUCAUCCUCUCCCCAGCUUUUGUAUCUAUCUUUGUUGAUUAUUCUGAUCUGAUGGGUAAGUUAUUAAAACACAUGAAGUGGUUAUAGUUUGAGGGUGCAUGGAAUCUAGUUAUAGUUUCAAGGUUUUGAAGUUAAAAAGGGUUUUGAAGUAGAGCUCCUUGAAGUCCAAUGGAGGUUCUUGCUAGGUUGAUUAAGCUGCUAAACUAUGGAUCCCAUAGUUCUACCCAUACUAUACUUUUGUGGUAGUUCUACGGCUUCCAUAUCUUGGGAGCUUUAUUACCUAUAGUUAGAUCCUUAUUUGGAUUGAAGGGAGCUCUACAAUUUUCUCAUUUUUUGCUUUAAUUAAGUUGUUAAUUACUUGCAUCUAACCUUCAUUUAUGCAAAAUGUUUUUGUUGAUCCGUUUUUCUUACCAGGAUCUUGAUCUCUGAUGCUAUGGUGUGACCAGAUCUAAGGAACUUGGAUGAUAUGAAUCUCCUAUCUAAUUUAUUUUUCAAUUUGGCCAGUGGUCUUAAAGUGUUUGUAAAUGUAGUUGGCUGCACAUUUUGUACUAUAUUUUUUUUAUCGACAAUUAUAAAUAUGUUGGUAUUUUUGUUGUGAUCUUAUAUGUAAAACUUCCCUUCAAGGCCUCAACGUCCUUCAUCCUGUAUUGUCAAAACACCUUAUAAUUAAGUUUUUGUUUUUGGCGAGAAUCAAAUCCUCGAACUCUUAUAUUUCGUUCUUUAAUUUUUUAAAUUUUAGAAACAACAAAUUUUCUUUUACAAUGUUGGAAGAAAUCAUAUCUAUUUCUGUUGUGUUGGU